GGCGAGGGGAGUGAAAAAGAACCUGAAACCGUGUACGUACAAGCAGUGGGAGCACAGGUUUACCUGUGUGACUGCGUACCUUUUGUAUAAUGGGUCAGCGACUUAUAUUCUGUAGCAAGGUUAACCGUAUAGGGGAGCCGAAGGGAAACCGAGUCUUAACCGGGCGUUAAGUUGCAGGGUAUAGACCCGAAACCCGGUGAUCUAGCCAUGGGCAGGUUGAAGGUUGGGUAACACUAACUGGAGGACCGAACCGACUAAUGUUGAAAAAUUAGCGGAUGACCUGUGGCUGGGGGUGAAAGGCCAAUCAAACCGGGAGAUAGCUGGUUCUCCCCGAAAGCUAUUUAGGUAGCGCCUCGUGAAUUCAUCUCCGGGGGUAGAGCACUGUUUCGGCUAGGGGGCCAUCCCGGCUUACCAACCCGAUGCAAACUGCGAAUACCGGAGAAUGUUAUCACGGGAGACACACGGCGGGUGCUAACGUCCGUCGUGAAGAGGGAAACAACCCAGACCGCCAGCUAAGGUCCCAAAGUCAUGGUUAAGUGGGAAACGAUGUGGGAAGGCCCAGACAGCCAGGAUGUUGGCUUAGAAGCAGCCAUCAUUUAAAGAAAGCGUAAUAGCUCACUGGUCGAGUCGGCCUGCGCGGAAGAUGUAACGGGGCUAAACCAUGCACCGAAGCUGCGGCAGCGAACGUAUCACUUAAAGCGAUUCAGCGGGUUACGAUUGACGGAGCGAAGCGACGUCAAAGCGUAUACAAAGUCGAGUCGGUUUAAGGAUACGUUCGUUGGGUAGGGGAGCGUUCUGUAAGCCUGUGAAGGUGUGUCGUGAGGCAUGCUGGAGGUAUCAGAAGUGCGAAUGCUGACAUAAGUAACGAUAAAGCGGGUGAAAAGCCCGCUCGCCGGAAGACCAAGGGUUCCUGUCCAACGUUAAUCGGGGCAGGGUGAGUCGACCCCUAAGGCGAGGCCGAAAGGCGUAGUCGAUGGGAAACGGGUUAAUAUUCCCGUACUUGGUGUUACUGCGAAGGGGGGACGGAGAAGGCUAUGUUGGCCGGGCGACGGUUGUCCCGGUUUAAGCGUGUAGGUGUGUGUUCCAGGUAAAUCCGGUUCACUUUAACACUGAGGCGUGACGACGAGGCACUACGGUGCUGAAGCAACAAAUGCCCUGCUUCCAGGAAAAGCCUCUAAGCAUCAGGUAACAUCAAAUCGUACCCCAAACCGACACAGGUGGUCAGGUAGAGAAUACCAAGGCGCUUGAGAGAACUCGGGUGAAGGAACUAGGCAAAAUGGUGCCGUAACUUCGGGAGAAGGCACGCUGACACGUAGGUGAAGUGAUUUACUCAUGGAGCUGAAGUCAGUCGAAGAUACCAGCUGGCUGCAACUGUUUAUUAAAAACACAGCACUGUGCAAACACGAAAGUGGACGUAUACGGUGUGACGCCUGCCCGGUGCCGGAAGGUUAAUUGAUGGGGUCAGCGCAAGCGAAGCUCCUGAUCGAAGCCCCGGUAAACGGCGGCCGUAACUAUAACGGUCCUAAGGUAGCGAAAUUCCUUGUCGGGUAAGUUCCGACCUGCACGAAUGGCGUAAUGAUGGCCAGGCUGUCUCCACCCGAGACUCAGUGAAAUUGAACUCGCUGUGAAGAUGCAGUGUACCCGCGGCAAGACGGAAAGACCCCGUGAACCUUUACUAUAGCUUGACACUGAACAUUGAGCCUUGAUGUGUAG
rnacentral:rRNA from 1 species